UACGUAGGGUGCAAGCGUUGUCCGGAAUUAUUGGGCGAAAGAGCUCGUAGGCGGUCUGUCGCGUCGGAAGUGAAAACCUGGGGCUUAACCCCGGGCCUGCUUCGAUACGGGCAGGACUAGAGUUCGGCAGGGGAGACUGGAAUUCCUGGUGUAGCGGUGAAAUGCGUAGAGAUCGGAAAGAACACCAACGGCGAAAGCACUCUGCUGGGCCGACACUGACACUGAGAGACGAAAGCUAGGGGAGCGAAUGGG
rnacentral:rRNA from 1 species